rnacentral:piRNA from 2 species
UGAGCCAAAAUAAAUCUUUGCUCCU